rnacentral:rRNA from 1 species
AUGUCUGAUUCAAAGACAAUAAACAUAGGUCUAAUUGUCGGGAUAGUAUCCGCUGGUAUCUUUGUGCUGGUCGUUAUAGCCGCAUGGCUUGGCUACCACAACUGUCUAAAAGGGAAGGGUAUAGCAUCCGGAGGUGCAAAGACCCCUUUCGACCAAGACAUGGACAUUGAGUUUGAAAAGGGGGUAGGGCCACGGAGAUUCAGGUACAACGAGAUAUCGCGGGCCACUCGGGGAUUCUCUGACGAGGAGAAGCUCGGCGAGGGCGGCUUCGGGGCAGUAUACCGAGGGUUCUUGCAAGACCAGGGGCUCCAUGUGGCCAUCAAGAGAGUUUCCAAGACAUCGAGUCAAGGGAGAAGGGAAUACAUCGCAGAAGUGACCAUCAUCGGCCGACUAAGGCAUCACAACCUUGUCCAGCUUGUCGGGUGGUGCCAUAAAGACGACGAGCUCCUGCUCGUCUACGAGCUUAUGACGAACGGCAGCCUCGAUGCCCAUCUCUACAAUUCCACGGAAGUCCUAACAUGGGCAACCAGGUACCAGAUCAUACUUGGCAUGGGAUCUGCUCGGACAUACCUGCACCAGGAGUGGGAGCAGUGCGUGGUGCACAGCGACAUCAAGCCAAGCAACGUGAUGCUUGACUCAUCGUUCAACGCCAAGCUGGGGGACUUCGGGCUCGCGCGCCUCGUCAACCACAGCAGCGGCGCUCACACCACGACGACGUUGGCCGGCACCAAGGGCUACAUGGACCCGGCGUACGCGGUGACCAUCCGGGCUAGCGCGCAGACCAACGUGUACAGCUUUGGGGUCGUCCUCCUCGAGAUCGCCUGUGGCCGUCGACCCGCAGGAGGAGGAGGAGAGCAAGGUCCUGCUCGUCGAGUGGGUCUGGGAGCUGUACGGGAGAGAUGCGCUCCUCGACGCGGCGGACGGCGACAUGGACGCGCGCGAGAUGGAGUGCGCGCUGGUCACGGGCCUCUGGUGCGUCCACCCGGACUACGGCUUCCGGCCGUCCAUCCGACAAGCCAUGAGCGUGCUCCAGUUCGAGGCGCCGCUUCCGGAACUCCCCCCGGAGACAGUGUGCCCGGAGAGGCCGGUGGUAGUGUAGGCGCCGCCUCACGGAGGGUACAGAUCGAGCUACACGUCGUCGGCUGGUAG